rnacentral:rRNA from 1 species
AUUGAACGCUGGCGGCAUGCUUUACACAUGCAAGUCGAACGGUAACAGGCCGCAAGGUGCUGACGAGUGGCGAACGGGUGAGUAAUGCAUCGGAACGUGCCCAGUCGUGGGGGAUAACGCCGCGAAAGCUGCGCUAAUACCGCAUACGAUCUGUGGAUGAAAGCGGGGGACCGUAAGGCCUCGCGCGAUUGGAUCGGCCGAUGGCAGAUUCGGUAGUUGGUGGGGUAAAGGCUCACCAAGCCGACGAUCUGUAGCUGGUAUGAGAGGACGACCAGCCACACUGGGACUGAGACACGGCCCAGACUCCUACGGGAGGCAUCAGUGGGGAAUUUUGGACAAUGGGGGCAACCCUGAUCCAGCAAUGCCGCGUGCAGGAAGAAGGCCUUCGGGUUGUAAACUGCUUUUGUACGGAACGAAACGGCUCUGGUUAAUACCUGGGGCUAAUGACGGUACCGUAAGAAUAAGCACCGGCUAACUACGUGCCAGCCGCCGCCGUAACAC